UACGUAGGUGGCAAGCGUUGUCCGGAUUUAUUGGGUUUAAAGGGUGCGUAGGCGGCCCUGUAAGUCAGUGCUGAAAUAUCCCAGCUUAACUGGGAGGGUGGCAUUGAUACUGAUGGUCUUGAGUACAUUUGAGGUGGGCGGAAUGUGUCAUGUAGCGGUGAAAUGCUUAGAUAUGACACAGAACACCGAUUGCGAAGGCAGCUCACUAAACUGUAACUGACGCUGAGGCACGAAAGCGUGGGGAGCAAACAGG
rnacentral:rRNA from 1 species